GGGGGGUUGAAGCAGCUGAAGGAUAUUGAUGCUUAUGCUCCCCCUGUCAUUAUUUCACAAUAUUGUUUAUAUCCCUGGGAUGUGGAUAAAGGUAGCUGUCACUUCUGGCACUGGGAGAUUACGGCAAACUGUGGCUGACACUGGCCAACGUUGCAGUGAGUGACAGCCCCCGCGGCAUGGUUACUGUCAGAGCCCUCGGGGGGCCGGGGGUGCCCGGCUCUGCCAGAUGCAGAAGGGGAAGGGGGAGGUCUGGGAGAGCCACGGGCUCCGCUCGGUGCAGUGCUAAUAACGAUGAGGGAAGUUGCUCCCGCAGCCCCACUGCCCACAUGUGGAGGUUCUUCUGAGGUCUGAGGGUGGGAGGUGGCUCGGUGCCCUGCCCCCAAGGGAUGCUCAGGGAUGUAGGUGAGUUGGGGUCCUGCAGUGCCUCCACUGAGCAGGGCGAGGGGAGUCUCUGCAUGACACGUGUUGUAUAUUCAGAAACAUUUCUUCUCCAAAAGAGCAGUGCUGCAGUGGCACAGCUGCCCAGGGAGGUGGUGGGGUCACCGUCCAUGGAGGUGUUCAAUGUGGAGAUGUGGCACUGAGGGACGUGGUCAGUGGGUAACAUAGGUGGUAGGUGGAUGGUUGGACUUGGUGAUCUUAGAGGUCAUUCCCAACCUGAAUGACUCUGUUAUUCUAUGACUCUAUGAUUUUCGCUGCCCUCAGCCUCCAGCUGCUCUCCAGGUCUGGCACGGGUCUCCCACAGUCCUGGUGUCACAGCCCUCCAUCCUGCACAUGCAUCUCAGCAGCACAAGAACAUCCCAGGGGACGCCAAGUGCCCACAUGAGAGCAGCCAAAUGGAUGCCUCUGCUCAAGCUAAUGACUCCAGGCUCCCUCUCCAGUCACCGCAGCCCCUUGCAGACGUGAACCAUUUGACCUCUCCAAGAUGCCUGCCCGAGGCUGAGACGAGCCGUGCCUUAGAAGUGCCUGCCUCUCUGCUCUGACUACAAAGGGAGCCCCGGGUGAUUAGCUCAGCUCUGGAUGUUUACAACGCGCACGGCAGAAUUUGACCAAAAGAAUCUCACCCUUGGGCCUUUGCUAUCCUGCAUGUCCCCGUGUCCCUUCCAAGGCUGGGUUCCUCGUAGGAACAGGGGGAAAAAAGAGAGAAGAGGAGGCCCUCCCACUCUGUCUCUGCUUACAUUGUCCUUACAUUAAAUGGAGAGGAUCCUAAUAGGAUAUUUAGAAGAGGUUAACUCUUCAGAAGCCUCCGUCUCUGCCCUACAUCCUGGACGCCUGCCAGAGCAAAGCCAAGGAUAACAAACCAGCUUUCGUUCAAGUAUUCUGAGCCAAUUAAAAAAGACAAAUUAGUUUGGCCUUAUCUCUCCCUCCUCCUCCCCC
rnacentral:lncRNA from 1 species